rnacentral:rRNA from 1 species
CGUAGACCUCAACUCAGACGUGAUUAC